rnacentral:rRNA from 1 species
GACAGAGGGUGCAAACGUUGUUCGGAAUUACUGGGCGUAAAGCGCGUGUAGGCUGCUCUGCAAGUCGGGUGUGAAAGCCCCGGGCUCAACCUGGGAAGUGCACUCGAAACUGCAGAGCUCGAGUCCUGGAGAGGAAGGCGGAAUUCUCGGUGUAGAGGUGAAAUUCGUAGAUAUCGAGAGGAACACCGGUGGCGAAGGCGGCCUUCUGGACAGUGACUGACGCUGAGGCGCGAAAGCGUGGGGAGCAAACAGG